AGGUUGUGUUGCAGACACUUCCUCAAUAGCUUCUUGAACCGCUUCCAAGCUUCAUAGAGAUUUUCCGCUUCAGAUUGAGAGAAGAUCAUGAUGUCAUUUCUCAACUU